rnacentral:rRNA from 1 species
UGGUGGAGUGAUUUGUCUGGUUGAUUCCGUUAACGAACGAGACCUCAGCCUACUAAAUAGUGAGCGUCAUUUCACGAUGGCGCGUGCACUUCUUAGAGGGACUAUUCGUGUUUAGCGAUUGGAAGUUUGAGGCAAUAACA